CCUACGGGAGGCAGCAGUGAGGAAUAUUGGUCAAUGGGCUCGAGCCUGAACCAGCCAAGUCGCGUGAGGGAAGACGGUCCUAUGGAUUGUAAACCUCUUUUGUCGGGGAGCAAAAGACGCCACGCGUGGCGUUCCGAGAGUACCCGAAGAAAAAGCAUCGGCUAACUCCGUGCCAGCAGCCGCGGUAAUACGGAGGAUGCGAGCGUUAUCCGGAUUUAUUGGGUUUAAAGGGUGCGCAGGCGGAAGAUCAAGUCAGCGGUAAAAUUGAGAGGCUCAACCUCUUCGAGCCGUUGAAACUGGUGUUCUUGAGUGAGUGAGAAGUAUGCGGAAUGCGUGGUGUAGCGGUGAAAUGCAUAGAUAUCACGCAGAACUCCGAUUGCGAAGGCAGCAUACCGGCGCUCAACUGACGCUCAUGCACGAAAGUGUGGGUAUCGAACAGGAUUAGAUACCCCUGUAGUC
rnacentral:rRNA from 1 species